AUUGAACGCUAGCGGGAUGCUUUACACAUGCAAGUCGAGCGAGCGGCGGACGGGUGAGUACUGUAUGGGGACUGCCCGAUCGAGGGGGAUAACUACUGGAAACGGUAGCUAAUCCCGCAUACUAUCGGAUAACCCAUAUGGGAUUAGCUAGUAGGUGAGGUAAUGGCUCACCUAGGCGACGAUCCCUAGCUGGUCUGAGAGGAUGAUAAGCCACACUGGGACGGAGACACGGCCCAGACUCCGACGGAGGCAGCAGUGGGGAAUAUUGCACAAUGGGCGCAAGCCUGAGGCAGCCAUGCCGCGGGUAGGAAGAAGGCCCUAGGGUUGUAAAGUACUUUCAGUCGGGAGGCGUUACCGACAGAAGAAGCACCGGCUAACUCCGUGCCAGCCGCCGCGGUAAUAC
rnacentral:rRNA from 1 species